UGCAGCUAGGGUAAAGGAAACUCACCCCUCCAGCCAGGACACCCCUCCCACCUUAGUGUCAGGGGGAGUUCCUACACUGCUGCAGCCAGGGUAGAGUGGACUUGCCUUCCAGUAAGGGGACCCCUCCAACCUGGGUGUCUGGGUGAGCUCCUCUACCUCUGCAGCAAGGAUAGAGGAGACUCACUCAUCCGACAGGGAGACUCUUCCCACCUGGUUGUCUGAGGGAGCUUGAUUACUGCAGCAGCCAUUGUAGAGGGGAUUCACCCCUAAAGGUGGGAGACUCCUCCCACCUGGGUGUAGGGGGGACCUUCUAUACUACUGCAGCCAGGGUAGAGGGCACUCAUCACUCCAGGCAAGAGACACCUCCCUCCUGAGUGUCACAGAAAGCUAGUAAACCACUACAGCCAGGGUAGAGGGGAGUCGCCCUUUAAAGCAGGAGACCCCUCCCAUCUGGUUAUGUUUUGGGGGCUAGUAUACCACAGCAACCAGAAAAGAGGGGACUCACCAUUCCAAUCAGGAGACCCUUUCCUCUUGGGUGUCUGGGAAAGCUGGUAAACCCCUGCAACUAGGGUAGGGGGAUGUCACCCCUCUAGGCGGGAGAUGACCCCUCCACCAUGGGAAUCAGGGGAAGCUCCUUAAAAUCUGCACACAGGGUAGAGUGGACUCACACUUCUAGCUGUUACCAUUGAGCCCAGUUGGCAACUUCUCUUAUCAUAGUAGAAAUGUAGCUAUUUCUGUGAAGCCCAGCUGAAGUCCAGAGGCCUUGUUUACAUAUUUUUGUGAAAAACUAGUAAGGAGGUGUCCAGCACCUGGAGUGCUGAUUUUUUUUUUCCAGCCAGUGGCCAAGUAAAACAGGGUAAUAGGAAAAGAGGAAGUUUAUCUUUUCUGUAGAGACACUUUGCUGACAGUUCUGAAAUCAGUCAUGGAGAAGAUUUCUG
rnacentral:lncRNA from 1 species